GAUGAAGAACGUAGCGAGAUGCGAUAAGUAAUGUGAAUUGCAGAAUUCAGUGAAUCAUCGAAUCUUUGAACGCACCUUGCACCCUUUGGCAUUCCGAAGGGUAUGCUCGUUUGAGUGUCAUUGUACUCUCACUCUCCCGAUGCUUUUGGAUCGGGAGUGGUGGACUUGGGUGUUGCUGCUUUGCUGUGGCUCGCCUCAAAUGGAGUAGUGCAACUCUUGGUUGGACAUAGUACGGCGUGAUAAGUGUCUUCGCCGGCGCCUCAUUAUAGAGGGUGGCCGAUCGGGAGCUCUGUGCUUCAAACCGUCUUCGGACAACAUCUGACAACUUGACCUCAAAUCGAGUAGGACUACCCGCUGAACUUAAGCAUAUCAAUAAGCGGAGGA
rnacentral:misc_RNA from 1 species